rnacentral:misc_RNA from 1 species
UCCGAAUUACAUUUCCCGGUUACCUGGAUCAUUGGUAGCGAUCGACCCAAAGUCCAUCUGUUAGGUUCUUGUGGGACAAAUAUUUGUGUCGUGUCCGGAGAUUAUCAUGAUCCACCUGGCUGCUAACAGAUUCCGAGAAAUAUCACAAGGGAUCUCGAAUCAAAACAGACCCUAAUCUGGAACUGCUCUGGGGGUUUUGGCACCGUCGAAGCAAAUACAUCGUUUUCGUCUAUCAGCAAGGACUUUCAGAUCGCGCGUCGAAAAAUCAAUACAGAGGUCAUACGCACUGCAGUUUAAAGAGGUCAAUGUGACGUCAUGUGUCGCUUUAGAAAUCCCGAUAACAGUCAAGAAAUUAUUGUCAGAGAUGAUCCGAUGCAGUUAUAAAUAGCCUUGACCAACCGAGCGAGACUUAUAUCUAGAGGAGAGGACGUGAUUUCAUUGUUGAGACAGGGACAAGAGUCUUUACAGCAGAUUCACCAUACGUGUCAGUGUGUAGUGUUCAGUGGGAUCUAGUGUGGGCGCUCACGCACAGCUCCAAAUGGCGGGCACGACGAGUGAGACAGAGCCCAUGACGGGCGAGACGAGGAGAGACGUCCGCCAGAAGAGUCGCUGUCUGGGCAAGAAAUGCUGCGUGGUGUCGUUGGUGUGUUUGUUCCUCUUCCUGACCUUCAUCGCCCUUCCUGGAGGUGUGAUGUUGAUAGUGCAUGGUGGGAAGGCGAGACGGAAGGGCACACUAGCGGGAGGUAUCGUUCUUGUCUGUCUCCCAGUGCUGGCGACAAUAUGCUUAUUAGCUGCCUUCUUUGGGAGGAGAAGAAUGCAAAAGUUACGAGCCCAGAAUACUGUGACUACCACAGACCCGGUGUGAGAGUUAGUAUGUAAGGUGUGAAUGGUGCUGAUGCGACUGUCUCUGUGAGGACAUGCAUGACUGAACUGAUGCUGAGGAUGAGACAUCAGUUCUGGACUUUCUGACCUUAUUACUGUGGAUGCUACAAGGAAAGAAGACAAGGCGGCCACUGGACACUGUAUAUCAGCGAAUACCGGCCUUUUGUCACUUCAUCGUGGUCGCGUGGGUCACAUCAGGGAUGGCAACACAGGGUCAACACAGGGAUGGCAUAUCCUUCGGAUGAAGUGGAGUUGAAAUCGUGGAACACCAAAAGGACAGAAUAGUCAUAGGAAUAUGACACAGUGCGUCAAACAGUCAAAGAUAUUGUUAAUAUGAAGUUCCGAAGCAGAUCCUCAAGGCUAUAUUGACCUUAUAUAAGUUCUCUCAAUGAACCAACGACAAGCCGACAUGUAAAGGAUGCGGUUUUGCCAUUCAAGUGUUGUGAGGGAGCUUGUCUCUUAGAUCAGAGGGGAUACUUAUGAAUGUUUGACAUGAUGUGGACGUGGUUCAAGUGUCGUCGUGGAAACAAAACUUCAGUCGUCAAGUAAUGUUACUUUUGUUUGUAUUAAGUGUGGAAUGUGGAAGGUUGGACUACGUUUUCAGUGUUGUCUAUUGAACCUCAAGGACGUACCAUUCUUCAGAUCAACGUACCAGCAAGUAAAAAAACAAAAGUAAUAUACGCAUGUAUAUAACUGCCCCUUGCCCUCUGUUUCCAUGGUUACUGAUUAUUGACAAGCAUACUUUUCAUCUUUAGGCAGCUUUGAGACACCUCGGUAUGACUGAUAGGAAACAUUCGUUUCUUCAUUCAAUAUUUAUAUUCUUUCAAUGCAAUGUUUUGGCGCAGUGAUGGUGCCUCAGCAUGCAAGUGUUCACCAACUUGGAAAAACCCUGGUUAUAUACAUGUUGCUCUAAGAAUGAAAUUGAGUUCAUGACAGUUCUAGUUUAAUUAAUGGAAUAUUUUCUUUUUAAACAAAUAGACCGUAAACUACGAACUAGUUUUAUUUCUUCGUAACCGUAGUUCGUUAUACGCAUUUCGAAUAUAACAUACCUCGGGUGGUCGGGACAAAACACUGUUCGUUACAUCCGUCAUUUCGGCAUAAGCGCAUUUUAAUUGUACCUGGACUAAUUUCAUGGCUGAUAUUUCGCCUGACAGUUUGUUGUAAUAUAGAUGUAGGCCAACAAUGAUCAAACAUAAAAGUUUUGUUAUGCACAAGGUUUUGAGGUUCGUUAGCAUACCCAGAAUGACAACAGGGGUAUAAUACUUAACAGUAACACGCCCAUCAUUAAAUACAUUAGAAUGAAAGAAGUCAACAUUGUAUUAAUUUUCGAAACAAUAUUUUUAUUCAUAGCAUUAAUUAAUUAUUUUUAGAUGUAUUGUCAAUAAAUUUUAAUUUAUUGCGGGUCUCAUUUGAAUGAUGAGAUCUGAUUGAUGUUUGAUGUAGAUAUAUUGUAUGACGGGGCACGUGACAUUCAGCAUUACCACAUGUACAAACAUACUGAUACUGUGAUGGUCGAGGGUUUCUACAUAUAGACAGCCAGUUAAAGACAUUUAUAAACGGAUGAAGGGUAUGUUUCUUGUGAGUUUUAUAUGUUUUAUACGUGUUCAUAACUGACAUGAUUCAAAUACGACAGCGGAAUAUAUAUUUUCAUACGUCGUGGAUAUGAACAAACUGUAUAACUUAUGUGUUUUUGUUCAGUGUAGUUCAUAUUGCAGCUCAUGUUGCAGCUGAUGGUGUCGCAGACCACGUUGUGAGAGUUGUAGCAUUGUUGUCUGAACGAACUCAUCAAAUAACGAUAUGUGUUAAUUAAAUAAAUAUUCACGGGCUCUCUGAAACUGUGUGGCAGUCGGCCAUGUUGUGUUCAAACGAGAGAACCAGUGAUUACGUUCCUCGGUCGACAGAUAAAAUUGAUGUAGUUUUGUCGGAUGCGAUGAUUUGCUCAUGUUGUUUAUUGUCUCAGUCGUUUACUCAAGGUGUCCGUGUUAUAAAGACGUGGCCAUCAUCUCAUGUUCAUGAAUAAACAAAUCUCAACUGUG